GUGUGCCGCUGCUGCUCGGCUUCUGCAGUCUGCUGCGGUCGCUCGCUCCUCUAGUAAUGGCUUUUAUAUGUAUUAUCUGAGUGUUAAAUUCAUAUUUUGAGUGAGUUUGUGUUGUGGGAUGACGAUUGAGAACGAAUAAACGCGAAUAUGGACACUUCUACCAGCAGCUAACAGACAUGCAAACUGUAAAAGCGAGGACCUGAAAGCAUGAUCCUUGGACUCCUUGGAGAAGAAUACUGUAUGCAAAACAGGAUUUUGGAUCAGCUGUGAAGAUUUUGUAUGGAGCUGAAGUUUUGGAAAUGAAAAUCUUCUACCAUAUGAUCUUCAGAGGAACUAAUCCAGCUGAGUACUGGCAAUUUGGAGGAGAACUGCUCUUUAUCUGCUGUGUCUGUCACUUCUGGCCAUGGACCUUUUGUUGUAUGUUUUGGUUUUACUUAUUACACUAAUAUAGCUAUUAGUUUUUAACUAACAUAUGUAGAAUUAAAAUACAUAUGUUUGUCUACAUAUAUUACCAGAGCUACAGUUGUGCCCAAAAUUAUUAGAACACUAUUUAUUUUAUACCAGUUACAAAAUGGUUUUAAGUCAGUUAUUUCUAUCUUUUGCUGUAUAGUGUCAGUAGGAAAUAUCAGUUUACAUUUCCAAGCAUUCAUUUUGCCAUUAAUUGUAAUUUUUUGAGAUUUUUGUUUGCACAAGGAGUCUGACAACAGCCAGUACUUCACAGAGAUAUGAUCUCGUCGUCUAAAUCCAGAAGAACAUGUGGCAGCGUCUCCAAGAUGCUUCAAGAAACCUACCUGCAAAGCUAAAAGUUUUAGGCACUUGUGUAAAAAUUCUGUUAAAUGAGGAUGUUGUCAAAAAUAAUGCCAUAAAUAAAUUUUCUUUAUCAAUUAACUUUUAUAACUAAAUUAAAUCAACAUUUAGUGUGACCAUCCUUUGCGUUUAAAGCAGCUUUUGCUCUAGGUGCACUUGUGGUUAGUUUUUCAGGUAACUUUUCAGAUAGGUUUCUUGAAGCGUCUUGGAGACGUUGCCACAGUUCUUCUGGAUGUAGUCUGUCUCAGUUUGUUCGGUUUCUUCAUCACAUUCCAGACAGACUGAUGAUGAUCAGGUCAGAUCUCUGUGUGCAGCACUGGCUGUUGUCAGACUCCUUGUGCAAACAAAAAUCUCACUGGAUUAUUGGCAAAAUAUGGCAAAAUGAAUGUUUGGAAAUGUAAACUGAUAUUUCCUACUGAAACACUACAGCUAAAGAUAGAAAUAACUGACUUAAAACCAUUUUUUAGCUGCUGAAAAUACUAGUGUUCUAAUCAUUUUGGACACCACUGUAUAUGGAGCCCACAGGAGUCAGUAGAAUAUUGUGGAUUAAUAUAAGAAUUAUGUUAUGUACUCAUGACCUCAUCAUGAGAGUAACCCUAACUGAUAAGAUAGAAAUGCAAUUUUUAGCUAUUCAAUUCCUCCUGGGGGCUCUGAAGAAAUGUUUAUGAAGAAUUGAUUUAAAUUACAUUGAUAAUGUUAUUUUACAUCUGAAUAAUAAAAUUGCUUGACAAUCUUAUACAUAUAUUUUAGUUUUUUUUUUUUUUUCAGUUUAAAAGGACUAGUUCAAUUCCAGAAUGAAGAUUUGCUGAUAAUUUAUUCACCCCCAUGUCAUCCAAGAUGUUCGUGUCUUUCUUUUUUCUGUUGAAAAGAAAUUAAGGUUUUUGAGGAAAACAUUCCAGUUGACUCCCACUGAAGUCCACUAUAUGGAGAAAAAUUCUUCAAUUUCUCAAAAACUUUAAUUUCUUUUUGACUGAGUAAAGAAAGACAUGAACAUCUUGGAUUACAUGGGGGUGAGUAAAUUAUCAGGAAAUAUUUAUUCUGGAAGUGAACUUGUCCUUUAAAUUGAAUAUAUUUAAUUCAACAUUUUUAUGAAAGUGUUCUAUGUUCUUCACCAGUACAGUAUUUGAAAUGUAAUUGUGCUGUAUUUCUUUUAAAUUUUAAUUUCUUACGGCAUCUGUACAGACUUUGUAUUUUGUCUUCUAAAUAAAACUGA